UCUCCAUAUAAUGCAUAAAUAGUAAAGCCCUGACCCAGUCCACGUCAAAAUAAAAAGUUUUUAAUUUCCACUUCUUUCCCUGUUACUGUUAAGAAAAAAAGAAAAAGAAAAAUUACUAGUUUAAGUUCGCCAAAAUGACGUAUUAAAUCAUUAAUAAUACUUACACGUAACGAGCUUGCUUUGCUUUCUUCUUCUUCUAUAUCUUCUAACUCCUUGGCCCAACGUGCGAAAUUCUGCGAAUUUGUCACCACCAAACCGAUGCCAAAAAUCAACGGGACUUAUAUCUUCUUGAUUACCUUUGCCUUUUUGCUUGUCCCAUUAUUUAUCAUAUUGAAGAAAAAGUUUAGGUGCUUUGAUUCGAAUAAUGUUGUGGAAAUAGCAGCAGGAGCUCGGGCAAACCCAUGUCCGGCGGAAAAUUCAGCUGCUGAAGUAGUGAUAGAUGUUUGCGAAGAAGAAAUUAAAGCAAAAAACAGUGAUUGUUCUAUUUGUAUUGCAGAUUUUAAAAAAGGGGAUAUGUGUUUGAUACUUUCUCCUUGUUGCCAUGGAUUUCAUUUUGCUUGUGUUAGUCGUUGGUUAGAAGACAAAGAGACGUGUCCCUUGUGUCGGACCCCUGUUACUAGUGUCAUGUGUCGCUCGUAUUAAUGAUGACAAGCCGAGCUAUGUGGUGGGGAGGUUCAAUUGAAUCUUCUUUAUACGGUGUAAACAAGGUAAAAUGUAAA
rnacentral:lncRNA from 1 species